rnacentral:lncRNA from 1 species
CUGGAAGAGAGGGACAAUGCUCCUUUCACAGCCGCCUUCUGGGGUGGGGCCUGCGGGUUGGGUGCAGCACAGACACUCGGUGUGUAGGCGUUGGAUCCAGACUGCCGGGGCCAGUUCCCAGCUCCCACUCACCACAAAGUGAGACUUAGCUCUGGGGUUUCCGCCAUCUGUAAGUUAGGACGAUAACAUUACCUGCCUAGAGUUGUUUGAGAAUUAAAGGAGGAAAAAUACAAGCAGGCCUGACAUGGCUUAGAGUGAGUGCUCCCGUUCCUUAUCUCUGACUUGCCGUGGAGCUUGGGUGGGGCAACCCAGAGAGUCUCCAGGAGGACCUUGGUGGGGUGUGGAAGUUACAGUGCUGUGACAGGGUGUGCCCCACGAUACAGCCCAGAGAGGUGCCUGACCUGCCUGGGGCUGCACCGCACAGCGUCCCACCCUGGCUAUGCAGGUUAUGCGGCCCCUACCUGACAGUGUUCAGCGAGAAUGCCAUCGAUGUGUUUGAUGUGAGGAGGGCAGAAUGGGUCCAGACCGUGCCACUCAAGAAGGUGCGACCCCUGAACCCAGAGGGCUCCCUGUUCCUCUUUGGUACCGAGAAGGUCCGCCUGACCUACCUCAGGAACCCGCUGGCAGAGAAGGACGAGUUCGACAUCCCCAACCUCACGGACAACAGCCGGCGCCAGCUCUUCCGCACCAAGAGCAAGCGCCGCUUCUUCUUCCGCGUGUCGGAGGAGCAGCUGCAGCAGCAGCGCAGGUGCGCCUGUGCCCUGGGUGGUGGGUGGGCGGGCCUCCCGCUUUAGCGGGCGAGUCCAAGCCUCGCCUUCCUGGAGAGGUGUCACCUUUGCCCCGCACGUCCCUUCCCUACCCCGUAGGGAGAUGCUGA